CCUGUCGGUGUAACUGGCAUGUCGCGGCAUGUCCUGUCGGUGGUGAACGGGAUACACGCUUCUGCUUAGGCUUUACUGCCGAAGCAUGUACCGUGUGUAUUUCCGUUUGCCGAUCUCUCCUACUCCGGUGCUCUUAAACGAGUGUCGAGGUAGGCCGACACAUUCACUUUGAACAAAUUAGAGUGCUUAAAGCAGGCUGAAAUAUCUGCCUGAAUAGUGGUGCAUGGAAUGAUAAAACAGGACCUCGGUUCUAUUUUGUUGGUUUUAGGAAUAUGAGGUAAUGAUCAAUGUGGACUGGCGGGGGCAUUCGUAUUGCGACGUUAGAGGUGAAAUUCUUGGAUCGUCGCAAGACGCACUAGAGCGAAAGCAUUUGCCAAGUAUGUCUUAAUUGAUCAAGAACGAAAGUUAGAGGUUCGAAGGCGAUCAGAUACCGCCCUAGUUCUAACCAUAAACGAUGCCAGCCAGGGAA
rnacentral:rRNA from 1 species